rnacentral:rRNA from 1 species
AUUGAACGCUGGCGGCGGGCCUAACACAUGCAAGUCGAGCGGAGCGGCGGACGGGCGAGUAAUGCCUAGGAAUCUGCCUGGUAGUGGGGGAUAACGUCCGGAAACGGGCGCUAAUACCGCAUACUACUAGAUGAGCCUUGGUCGGAUUAGCUAGUUGGUGGGGUAAAGGCGUACCAAGGCGACGAACCGUAACUGGUCUGAGAGGAGGAUCAGUAACACUGGAAAUGAGACACGGUCCAGACUCCUACGGGAGGCAGCAGUGGGGAAUAUUGGGCAAUGGGCGAAAGCCUGAUCCAGCCAUGCCGCGGGAGUGAAGAAGGUCUUCGGAUUGUAAAGCCCUUUAAGUUGGGAGGCGUUACCAACAGAGUAAGCACCGGCUAACUUCGUGCCAGCAGCCGCGGUAAUUC